CCAGAGAAUUUAGCAGAGAUGCUUUAGUGCCUUCGGGAACUCUGAGACAGGUGCUGCAUGGCUGUCGUCAGCUCGUGUUGUGAAAUGUUGGGUUAAGUCCCGCAACGAGCGCAACCCUUAUCCUUUGUUGCCAGCACGUAAUGGUGGGAACUCAAAGGAGACUGCCGGUGAUAAACCGGAGGAAGGUGGGGAUGACGUCAAGUCAUCAUGGCCCUUACGAGUAGGGCUACACACGUGCUACAAUGGCGCAUACAAAGAGAAGCGACCUCGCGAGAGCAAGCGGACCUCAUAAAGUGCGUCGUAGUCCGGAUUGGAGUCUGCAACUCGACUCCAUGAAGUCGGAAUCGCUAGUAAUCGUAAAUCAGAAUGUUACGGUGAAUACGUUCCCGGGCCUUGUACACACCGCCCGUCACACCAUGGGAGUGGGUUGCAAAAGAAGUAGAUAGCUUAACCUUCGGGAGGGCGUUUGCCACUUUGUGAUUCAUGACUGGGGUGAAGUCGUAACAAGGUAAGCGUAGUGCU
rnacentral:rRNA from 1 species